rnacentral:rRNA from 1 species
UACGGAGGGUGCAAACGUUGCUCGGAAUCAUUGGGCGUAAAGCGCACGUAGGCGGCCCGGUAAGUGGGGUGUGAAAGCCCUCGGCUCAACCGAGGAAGUGCAUUCCAUACUGCCGGGCUUGAGUACCGGAGAGGGUCGCGGAAUUCCCGGUGUAGAGGUGAAAUUCGUAGAUAUCGGGAGGAACACCAGUGGCGAAGGCGGCGACCUGGACGGAUACUGACGCUGAGGUGCGAAAGCGUGGGGAGCAAACAGG